rnacentral:misc_RNA from 1 species
GGAAAGAGCAGAUUCAUACAGCAACCAUGUUGCAAGCUUUAGAAUCUCGUUCAACUUUCCAGCGAUGGUCGUCUUGAAGCCAUGUGCUCUACCUUCUGCUCAGUGUAGGGCAAAUAUUUACCAUCAAAAGUUAUCACAACACGAUCCUUCCCAUCGACACCCUUGACCUUGUCAACUGAGCAGUAGAAGUCUAUGGCUGACAUAAUUCCAUCGCCAAACUCCUCGUUGAUAAUUUCCUUGAUACUCUCGCCAAAAUGCAUAACUGCUUCGUUCAAUCUGUAAAUUGAGGGUUCUUGGAUCAAACGAGGAUCGUAGGACCUCAUUGGCGGGCGCAUCAUCUCUUGAAUAUGAUCAUCGGUGAGUUGAGGCAAGGCGGACCUCAACUUAGGGACAGUCUCAGGCUUAAGGUGUGCUUGACGGCGGAGAAGCUGAGCGACAUAGACGUUAGUGAGGCCAGUCUCUUCCGCUAUCUGGUUGUAAG